rnacentral:tRNA from 1 species
CAGAUCCAGUGGAGACACAGUAGGGCCUGUAGCUCAGAGGAUUAGAGCACGUGGCUACGAACCACGGUGUCGGGGGUUCGAAUCCCUCCUCGCCCAC